rnacentral:lncRNA from 1 species
AUUUUGUGCCUCAACCAUCGUUUUUUAUGUCAUCUUCAAUUUUGAUUAAGGUGCCUCCACAACUCCAAGUAUAUAGCACAAUUCGAUUUGAGAUCUGCCGGAAAGAAGAAUGAGGAACAUGAAGAAGUCUUCAGUCCCCCGGUGGAUUGGAAGAAGGAAGAUGUGCAAUGUCCAANCACACAUGCGCGCACACAUACAAAUUUUGUGCCUCAACCAUCGUUUUUUAUGUCAUCUUCAAUUUUGAUUAAGGUGCCUCCACAACUCCAAGUAUAUAGCACAAUUCGAUUUGAGAUCUGCCGGAAAGAAGAAUGAGGAACAUGAAGAAGUCUUCAGUCCCCCGGUGGAUUGGAAGAAGGAAGAUGUGCAAUGUCCAACAUGAUGUUCUGAUUGUCUAGUGGGUGUAUGGAGGUGUCAGAAGAGGCUGGUGGAAAAUGCGAUGAGGAACUGACAAGAAAGAAUGCAAAGGAAGAAAGAUCCAGCUCUAACGAUCCAGCACGUUGCAAUGAAAAACCUGUUCUCUUGCGUUUAGGAAGAAUCAUAUCUGGGCUUGUUUUGAAGACCAGGCGGUGGCAAAGGAAUAAAACUUCACCUGAAUAGGACUGAUGGCGUCAAUAAGCAGGAGAAGUUAGCCUACUCUGGGUUAUUCAUUUAUAUAUCAUUGAAAAUAUUUCCAUCAUCUUUCUUGUGACUCUUCCACAGCUUUGAAGGAUUAAGCCGGUCACUAAAAACGUUUUAGAAAAGUACAACCACCUAAAAUAGUUUCCAAAUGUCUUUUAAUAAAAUGAAGAUAUAUGAUAUAUAGUGUAUAUAU